UACAGAGGUCUCAAGCGUUGUUCGGAUUCAUUGGGCGUAAAGGGUGCGUAGGCGGCGCGGUAAGUCGGGUGUGAAAUCUCGGAGCUUAACUCCGAAACUGCAUUCGAUACUGCCGUGCUUGAGGACUGGAGAGGAGACUGGAAUUUACGGUGUAGCGGUGAAAUGCGUAGAUAUCGUAAGGAAGACCAGUGGCGAAGGCGAAUCUCUGGACAAUUACUGACACUGAGGCACGAAGGCCAGGGGAGCAAACGGG
rnacentral:rRNA from 1 species